GAGUUUGAUCGUGGCUCAGAACGAACGCUGGCGGCGCGUCUUAAGCAUGCAAGUCGGACGAAUGGCCACCCUCGGGUGGCCGGAAGUGGCGGACGGGUGAGUAACACGUGGGUAAUCUGCCCUCCGGUGGGGAAUAGCACAUGGAAACAUGUGAUAAUACCGCAUGAUACGGCCCUGCGGAUGCAGGGUCGGGAAAGCUCCUGCGGGAGCGCCGGGGGAUGAGCCUGCGGCCCAUUAGCUGGUUGGCGGGGUAAAGGCCCACCAAGGCGACGAUGGGUAGCCGGACUGAGAGGUUGAACGGCCACAUUGGGAUUGAGAACGGCCCAGACUCCUACGGGAGGCAGCAGCUAAGAAUCUUCCACAAUGGACGGAAGUCUGAUGGAGCGACGCCGCGUGGACGAUGAAGGCCGUGA
rnacentral:rRNA from 1 species